CUUAGCUGCUUCAUCUUCAGGGCAUUUCCUUCGACUGAUAGAGGGAGUUAUUUGAUUUUCCUCUAUGUGACCAUGGAUUUGACAAUGAAGAGAAACAGGAGAAUUCUUUGAAGAUGGGUAUUCUCUUAUGUUCUUCAGAAAGAACAGCCGGCAGUCAUUGAAGCGAUGUGAACUUCCUUCCUCUUUUUUGUCUUCAGAACAGGAAAUAAAGCUCUGGUCAGUGAAAUUCUUAAUUCAUUAUCAACCAAAUAUCAUUGAAGUUGUAGCCUUGACCCACUGAGGGGUCAACCUCUGACAGAAGACAUGCAGCUCAUAUAGAACCAGGAAAAUGCUUUGAGGAAGAG